UCCCUGGUGGUCCAGUGGCUAAGAUGCAGAGCUCCUGAUUCAGGGGGCCUGGGUUUGAUCCCUGGUCAGGGAA
rnacentral:tRNA from 1 species